rnacentral:rRNA from 1 species
GACGAACGCUGGCGGCGUGCCUAAUACAUGCAAGUCGAGCGAAGUUUUUCUGGUGCUUGCACUAGAAAAACUUAGCGGCGAACGGGUGAGUAACACGUAAAGAACCUGCCUCAUAGACUGGGACAACUAUUGGAAACGAUAGCUAAUACCGGAUAACAGUAUUUCUCGCAUGAGAGAUAUUUAAAAGUUGGUUAUGCUAACACUAUGAGAUGGCUUUGCGGUGCAUUAGCUAGUUGGUGGGGUAAAGGCCCACCAAGGCGACGAUGCAUAGCCGACCUGAGAGGGUGAUCGGCCACAUUGGGACUGAGACACGGCCCAGACUCCUACGGGAGGCAGCAGUAGGGAAUCUUCCGCAAUGGGCGAAAGCCUGACGGAGCAACGCCGCGUGAGUGAAGAAGGAUUUCGGUUCGUAAAGCUCUGUUGUUAGGGAAGAAUGGAUAUGUAGUAACUAUACAUGUAAGAGACGGUACCUAACCAGAAAGCCACGGCUAACUACGUG